AUUGAACGCUGGCGGCAGGCCUAACACAUGCAAGUCGAACGGUAACAGGAAGCAGCUUGCUGCUUCGCUGACGAGUGGCGGACGGGUGAGUAAUGUCUGGGAAGCUGCCUGAUGGAGGGGGAUAACUACUGGAAACGGUAGCUAAUACCGCAUAAUGUCGCAAGACCAAAGAGGGGGACCUUCGGGCCUCUUGCCAUCGGAUGUGCCCAGAUGGGAUUAGCUGGUUGGUGGGGUAACGGCUCACCAAGGCGACGAUCCCUAGCUGGUCUGAGAGGAUGACCAGCCACACUGGGACUGAGACACGGUCCAGACUCCUACGGGAGGCAGCAGUGGGGAAUAUUGCACAAUGGGCGCAAGCCUGAUGCAGCCAUGCCGCGUGUAUGAAGAAGGCCUUCGGGUUGUAAAGUACUUUCAGCGGGGAGGAAGGGAGUAAAGUUAAUACCUUUGCUCAUUGACGUUACCCGCAGAAGAAGCACCGGCUAACUCCGUG
rnacentral:rRNA from 1 species